CUCAUUAAAUCAGUUAUCGUUUAUUUGAUAGUACCUUACUACUUGGAUAACCGUGGUAAUUCUAGAGCUAAUACAUGCUAAAAACCCCGACUUCGGAAGGGGUGUAUUUAUUAGAUAAAAAACCAAUGCCCUUCGGGGCUCCUUGGUGAUUCAUGAUAACUUAACGAAUCGCAUGGCCUUGCGCCGGCGAUGGUUCAUUCAAAUUUCUGCCCUAUCAACUUUCGAUGGUAGGAUAGUGGCCUACCAUGGUAUCAACGGGUAACGGGGAAUUAGGGUUCUAUUCCGGAGAGGGAGCCUGAGAAACGGCUACCACAUCCAAGGAAGGCAGCAGGCGCGCAAAUUACCCAAUCCCGACACGGGGAGGUAGUGACAAUAAAUACUGAUACAGGGCUCUUUUGGGUCUUGUAAUUGGAAUGAGUACAAUUUAAAUACCUUAACGAGGAACAAUUGGAGGGCAAGUCUGGUGCCAGCAGCCGCGGUAAUUCCAGCUCCAAUAGCGUAUAUUAAAGUUGUUGCAGUUAAAAAGCUCGUAGUUGAACCUUGGGCCUGGCUGGCCGGUCCGCCUCACCGCGUGUACUGGUCCGGCCGGGCCUUUCCUUCUGGGGAUCCUCAUGCCCUUCACUGGGUGUGCUGGGGAACCAGGACUUUUACUUUGAAAAAAUUAGAGUGUUCAAAGCAGGCCUUUGCUCGAAUACAUUAGCAUGGAAUAAUAGAAUAGGACGUGCGGUCCUAUUUUGUUGGUUUCUAGGACCGCCGUAAUGAUUAAUAGGGAUAGUCGGGGGCAUCAGUAUUCAAUUGUCAGAGGUGAAAUUCUUGGAUUUAUUGAAGACUAACUACUGCGAAAGCAUUUGCCAAGGAUGUUUUCAUUAAUCAGUGAACGAAAGUUAGGGGAUCGAAGACGAUCAGAUACCGUCGUAGUCUUAACCGUAAACUAUGCCGACUAGGGAUCGGGCGAUGUUAUUCUUUUGACUCGCUCGGCACCUUACGAGAAAU
rnacentral:rRNA from 1 species